rnacentral:lncRNA from 1 species
CGGCAAGGCGAGCAGUGGGGCGGAGGGCAGGGAUGGAGAGCUGAGCAGAUCCCAGAGGCGGGAAGUGAGCUCUGAUGGAGGACGAGUCACUCAGGAAAGACCGCAUCCUCCUCGGGAGAGUGCUGAGCACAGAGCCGGGGCCUGGGGACAGGGGUUCUGACUCUAACUCAUGGGGUGAUGGAGGGCCAGGACCGGCCGUCAUGAGGCUUAUCUGUGCGCCGAAGAAUCUGCAGGCUGCUGCUGGCCCAGCGAGGUGGGGCAAGCUGUGGAAUCUCUCCAAACCUCCUCCUCUAAACCUGUGGAAGGCGUGUCCUGGGGUAGAACCUCCUUCGUUGUGGUGUCGUGAGCAUUAAAUGAGAUCCAAGCACAGUGCCCUUCAUGCCCCCUGUGCGGCCGAGCCAAACUGAAGACGGGCGAGUCAGCAUCCGGACCAGAGCAGGGUGGACAGCCGGCCUCGGCAUCGGCUUCGCAACUUGGGUUCAUGAACUUGCAUUGGCAUCACUCAGUUCAAUUCCAACAGUUUAUUUCUCUCAUUUGUUAUUAUUUUAAACGCAUUGUUUCCACUUUGCACCCAUCUCCUAAGAGCAAUCCUUAGACUCAGACUCAAGUCCCAUUCUACUGCUAAAAUCCCUGUACUAUAGAAGCUGGAGAUGCAACAGUGAGCAAGACCUACCAGAUCUCUACAGGAGAGACAGACAAUUAACACCCAAUUGCACAAAUAUUUAUUUAAUUACAAUUUUACUAAGUGCUGGGUAUGAAAGAGCAUGUAACAGAGGGACCGGAGCUGAUGUCUUAUUCGAUCUCCUACAACCCUUCUCAUGAGCAGGGUACAAACCUUUAUGCCCGUUUUAAAGGUAAAAGUGAAGCCAGAGCACUCAUGUGAGAGAUACAUGAGCGACGGGGCUCAUUGCAGCAGGAAGGAGAAGAGAGACAGGAAGACACGAGGGAGGGCAAAACAUUUGUGAACUGUAAAGUGCUGUAUAUGUGGAAAUCGAUGACAGCUGUCAUUCCUGUACUCUGGGAUCCCACACUUGAGCUUCUAUCACGAAGUUUAAAAAUAGCUUCCAUCAGCG